rnacentral:sRNA from 1 species
GUCGUGAGAUGUUGGGUUAAGUCCCGCAACGAGCGCAACCCUCAUCUUCAGUUGCCAACGGGUAGAGCUGGGCACUCUGGAGAAACUGCCGGUGACAAGCCGGAGGAAGGCGGGGAUGACGUCAAGUCCUCAUGGCCCUUACGGGCUGGGCUACACACGUGCUACAAUGGCGGUGACAGCGGGCGGCGAUGGGGCGACCCUGAGCUAAUCCCGAAAAGCCGUCUCAGUUCGGAUUGCACUCUGCAACUCGAGUGCAUGAAGUUGGAAUCGCUAGUAAUCGCGGAUCAGCAUGCCGCGGUGAAUACGUUCCCGGGCCUUGUACACACCGCCCGUCACGCCAUGGGAGUUGGCUUUACCCGAAGCCGGUGCGCUGACCUCGCAAGAGGAGGCAGCCGACCACGGUAAGGUCAGCGACUGGGGCGAAGUCGUAACAAGGUAGCCGUAGGGGAACCUGCGGCUGGAUCACCUCCUUUCUGGGACUUGGGAGAAAGACGGCUGCCGCCAGGCAGUCGACACCUCUUUCGAGCUCAUAUCUGCCGAGCCUGUCCGUAUGACGGCUCGAGGCCGCCGUCCUCGCAUCCCUUCUCCUCGGAAUAAGCGCCGCAAGGCGGCUUUCGCGCGUUUGCGCGGGCCGUCUGGGGGUGGAGAGAUCGGGCUAGUAGCUCAGCUGGUUAGAGCGCGCGCUUGAUAAGCGUGAGGUCGGAAGUUCAAAUCUUCCCUGGCCCACCAGUUCUGGCCCAUCCGUCGUCUCUGGUUCGCCAGCGAGUCUGGUUCAUCAGUGACAUGGGGCCGUAGCUCAGCUGGGAGAGCACCUGCCUUGCAAGCAGGGGGUCACCGGUUCGAUCCCGGUCGGCUCCACCAGCGCUUCUGGUCAGAGAUCUUGGCCGUUCCGAGGACAUCAGAUAGGGCGAGCUGCGAAGCUCGAUCCCUGAUACCUGCUCUUUGACAUUGUGGAUAGGAAUGCGACUGGCUGUUGGCACGGGUUGCCGGGCCUCGGGCGAAAGCUUGGGGCUAAAGGGACCCGUGGUUGACGGCCAGGCGGGUAAUAGAAUGAGUGCUGAGUGUUACAAGUCGAGGCUUUGCGGUCGUUGCAUGGGGGGUUCCGCUCUCUGUGUGCGGCGGAGGAGCUUCGGAUCAAGCGUUUAAGGGCAUUUGGUGGAUGCCUUGGCACUGAGAGGCGAUGAAGGACGUGGCACGCUGCGAAAAGCCGCGGGGAGGGGCGAGCACCCUUUGAUCCGCGGAUAU